ACUAUGUGGCAAUAUGCUAUAGGACCUCUAAUACGCAUCCAACUUGCAGGACACAUGUCUAAUUUGUAAGGCAAUUUUCUUAGAUGUGCACCAUAUGUCCAACUUGUAUUACACCUAUUCUUAUUAUCUAGAUAAUUAUCAAGGUAAAUAUAUAUGUCUUUGACACAUAUUGAGAAUUCAGAAAGAAAAAUAUUCUAAUACCAUAUUGUAGUGAAU
rnacentral:lncRNA from 1 species